rnacentral:tRNA from 1 species
UGGGAGAUCGUCUAACGGCAGGACAUCGGACUCUGACUCCGAGAAUGGAGGUUCGAAUCCUCCUCCCCCAGCCA